rnacentral:rRNA from 1 species
CCUACGGGUGGCAGCAGUGAGGAAUAUUGGUCAAUGGCCGGAAGGCUGAACCAGCCAUGCCGCGUGAAGGUCAGUGCCCUAUGGGCGUUAAACUUCUUUUGUGCGGGAGCAAUAAUGGUAACGUGUGGCCAGACGAGAGUACCGUACGAAUAAGCAUCGGCUAACUCCGGGCCAGCAGCCGCGGUAAUCCGGGGGAUGCAAGCGUUAUCCGGAUUUAUUGGGUUUAAAGGGUGCGUAGGUUGGGGGGUAAUUCAGGGGUGAAAUGCCCCCGGACAACGGGGUGAAGUGCCAUUGAGACUGCGCUGCGGGAAGGCGGAUGACGUGGGGGGAAUGUGUGGUGUAGGGGUAAAAUUCAGAGAUAUCACACGGAACACCGAUUGCGAAGGC